UCUUCAAGAUGGCUGUCACCUAUUCGCGGCUCUUCCCGCCCGCCUUCCGCCGUCUCUUCGAGUUCUUCGUGCUGCUCAAGUUCUGUGACAGCGGCGGCCGCGGGAGCUUCCCGGGCCUGGCCAUGGAACCAGGCAGCAACCUGGACAUGGAAGAUGAGGAGGAGGAAGAGCUGACCAUGGAGAUGUUUGGGAACAGCUCCAUCAAGUUUGAGCUGGACAUCGAGCCCAAGGUGUUCAAGCCGCCGAGUAGCACAGAGGCCCUGAAUGACAGCCAGGAGUUCCCCUUCCCUGAGACGCCCACCAAAGUGUGGCCGCAGGACGAGUACAUCGUGGAGUACUCACUAGAGUAUGGCUUCCUGCGCCUGUCGCAGGCCACCCGCCAGCGCCUGAGCAUCCCCGUCAUGGUGGUCACCCUGGGUGAGUCUGAGCUGCUGGGCUGGGGGAGCUCCAUGGCGGGGCCUCCCCUCCUGCCUCGGGUCUCCUCCUGCUGGUGCGGGGCCGGGGGCUGUGCAGGAAGCACUGGGGUCUGCCCCGCCUCAGGCACGCUUCCCAGGGCUGGGGGCCUGGAUGGGUUUCCUAAGAAUGGGCAGGGCCAGGAAGCAGGCCAGGCCUCAGCAAUGGAGCCAGCUGGGGCAGGGCCCAGGGGGUGGCCUGGGCGGGGCUCCCGGCUCCCUGAUUCACCCACCCGCAGACCCCACGCGGGACCAGUGCUUCGGGGACCGCUUCAGCCGCCUGCUGCUGGAUGAGUUCCUGGGCUACGAUGACAUCCUCAUGUCCAGCGUGAAGGGCCUGGCGGAGAACGAGGAGAACAAGGGCUUCCUGCGGAAUGUGGUGUCGGGCGAGCACUACCGCUUUGUGAGCAUGUGGAUGGCGCGGACGUCCUACCUGGCCGCCUUCGCCAUCAUGGUCAUCUUCACGCUGAGCGUGUCCAUGCUGCUGCGGUACUCACACCACCAGAUCUUCGUCUUCAUCGGUGAGUGUCCCGCCGGCGCAGGGCGGGGCGGGCGUCCUCCAGGCCCUCACCGGGCGCCCGCCGCCCUGUGCCCGCAGUGGACCUGCUGCAGAUGCUGGAGAUGAACAUGGCCAUCGCCUUCCCCGCAGCGCCCCUGCUGACCGUCAUCCUGGCCCUCGUCGGUGAGGACCCCACCCGGCCUCCCCCGCCCCGCGCUGCACCCCGCCCCGCCCGCUUCAACCGGCGCCGCCUCUCCCUGCAGGGAUGGAGGCCAUCAUGUCGGAGUUCUUCAACGACACCACCACCGCCUUCUACAUCAUCCUCAUCGUGUGGCUCGCGGACCAGUAUGACGCCAUCUGCUGCCACACCAGCACCAGCAAGCGGCACUGGCUGCGGUGAGGCCUGGGCGGCAAGCAGGGGGCGGGCCAGCCGUGCCUUUCCAGGCAGGAGAGGCUGCAGCCGGGGAGGAUGCCCUGUGGGGUCGGCCCAAGCGGGCAGAGCAUUCCAUGAUCUACUUCUUCCACCACUAUGAGCUGCCUGCCAUCCUGCAGCAGGUCCGCAUCCAGGAGAUGCUGCUUCAGGCGCCGCCACUGGGCCCCGGGACCCCCACGGCGCUGCCCGAUGACAUGAACAACAACUCGGGCGCCCCAGCUACAGCCCCUGACUCUGCCGGCCAGUCCCCCGCCCUGGGCCCCGUCUCGCCCGGGGCCAGCGGGAGUCCCGGGCCUGUGGCAGCGGCGCCCAGCUCCCUGGUGGCCGCGGCAGCCUCAGUGGCGGCAGCUGCCGGUGGUGACCUGGGUUGGAUGGCAGAGACCGCUGCCAUCAUCACAGACGCCUCCUUCCUGUCCGGCCUGAGCGCCUCCCUCCUGGAGCGGCGUCCAGCCAGCCCGCUGGGCCCUGCUGGGGGCCUCCCCCACGCCCCCCAGGACAGUGUCCCCCCGAGUGACUCCGCAGCUUCUGACACAACUCCCCUGGGGGCUGCGGUAGGCGGGCCUAGCCCGGCCUCCAUGGCCCCAACGGAGGCGCCCUCGGAGGUGGGGUCCUGAGCCGCACAGCUGAGCCGCCUCUGACCCCUGCUGGCUGGGCCUGACCUUCCCGAGCCCGUGGGGGUGGGGGAGGCCAGCCACCUCCUUCCUCUGGGACUGCCCAGGCUGUGUCGGGGGCUUUCAGGGUUUCGUGGGGUUUGCCCGGAAGGCGGCUUUCCUCCCACUGGUGUGAGGUCGCGCCCGAGGCUUGUACCCGCUAGUGAGCUGUUUGAGCUGGUCAGCAAGGAGAGGGGGUGGGGUUCCGCGGAAGGUUCUGGAGGGGUCUUGGUAGGUCUGCAGUGAACCGUCCUGAGGAUGGAGUGGGGUCGCAUGGUGCAGGUCUCUGAGCAAGGCGGAGGUGUGGAGGAGAGGCCGGCUUGGGGUGGGGCCUCGCGCCCUAGUGCCGGCCGGCCUCAGCCCGGCUCUGCCUGGUGCUCCCUGCAGUGCCUUCUCCAUGGCCCGGCCCUCCCCGCGUGUGCGCCAGGCCUGGGGUCCCCGGGAGAGCAGAGCUUGCGCCUCGGGCAUAGGGACGUGGGGUGCAGGCGCCAACAUCAGUGGCAGCAGCCAGGGCCGUGGUCCAGUCCCACUCGGGGAUGGAGUGGGCCGGCGGCCAAACCAGUCACUCGGGGAGGAAUGCGGAGGAGCGCUCAUUCCAUUCUAUUUAAUUGCAGUGUACAAAAUUGUGUUUGUAUAUAGAAUAAACUGUCUGUUGACAGCG
rnacentral:sRNA from 1 species